rnacentral:rRNA from 1 species
AAUGAACGCUGGCGGCGUGGCUAAGACAUGCAAGUCGCACGGAAUGUAGCAAUACAUUUAGUGGCGGAAGGGUGAGUAAUAAAUAGGUAACGUACCCUGGACUCGGGGAUAACAGUGGGAAACUGCUGCUAAUACCCGAUGAAGUCGCGAAGAGGCAUCUUUUUGUCGACCAAAGGUACCGCUGGUCUGGAGGCGGCCUAUUUCCUAUCAGCUAGUUGGCGAGGUAACGGCUCACCAAGGCACUGACGGGUAGCCGGACUGAGAGGUCGGACGGCCACAUCGGGACUGAGACACUGCCCGGACACCUACGGGUGGCUGCAGUAACGAAUAUUGGGCAAUGGGCGCAAGCCUGACCCAGCGACGCCGCGUGCAGGACGAA